UGUAUCAUAUGCUUUUCAAUUUAUAUCUUUACAAAAACAUUUCCCUCACUUUUCUCUUUCUUCCUCCUCCUCUAUACGAAACCCUGGCAGUUUCCUUCUCUCUCCACUUUCAGAGCAACAUCUCCCCACUAACACCGAAUCCUUCAUUCCCUCUUUCAUUUCGCCACAUUCACCUUGCAGAAAGAGAGAUAGACCAUGGAUCUCCAACCCCUUCUUCCUCCCUGUUUUCUCUCUUCUUUCUCCAUAAGUUUUUCCCUCUCUUGAUUUUUUUUAUCAAAAAUUUGAAGAUAUUUUAUAUCUUUUGAUGUUUUGGUUUUAGAAUUUGUUUUCUUCAGUGACACUUUGUAUCUUUUAAUGUUUGGUUUUAGAUUAGUUUUCUUCUUCACAUAUCUAUGGAGUGAUUUUUUUUUUGCGUUUUUGGAACAAACAAUUUAGGGUUUGCUAAGAAAUUAUGUUUUUACUAUGUAGAUCUUAAUAAUACUGAUUUGAAAUUAAGUUUCUGCUCUCCGAAUCUAAAUGUAUCACAAAUGUGUUUUUUUUUGUGUUUUGAUUGGUCUGAAAAUAUGUAUUUUUUAUGUUUAAAUGGUGGGAUUUGAGUAACACAGUAUGAGUUUUUUGCCGCUGUUGUUGAUUUUGGAGUCUCUUUCUCCAAUGAUUUUGGUCAAACUUUAUGACAUUGUUAUUUUGAUUGUGGACAAACUUUGGAUAAACAUAUUCAGGGGAUUGAUGAUUGAAGAGGUAUGAUGAAAUGUAUAUAGGUUUUUUUAUGUUAAGUUUCUAUUAAACUGGAUGGAUUAAACAUAUUCAGUUACAUUUUAAACAUGGCUGUUAUAAUAUGACAACAAAUGGACAAUUGAAAUCAUCAUCAAAUAUUCAGCAACAGACCCAGCAACAUGGCUGUUAUGAACUUAUUUUUGGGAACACUUAAAAUUGUGGGAGGUUCAUGUUGAUCUUAGGUGGUUUUCUUUCCAAGCUGCAGGUUUUUCAGCAAAUCCCUGGGACACUGUUGGUGAAAGGUUCAGUACAAGAUAAGAAUAGCUCGUUAUCAGGAGCAUUCUCUGAUUUUUGUUAAGCUGGAAGAAACAUUGGGGAAUAAAUUUUGUACUAGAUCAGUAUAAAUUUUGAGAAGUUCACAAGUGCUCAUUUCUGGGGUCAGGAUUUAAAGAAAUCAAGUGAAGGUGUUGGUGUAAAAAAAGGAAAUAGUAGAAGGCAACAAUAAAACACUCAUAGCGAUUCCGCUCGUGAAAAAUUUGAUCGAUAAUGCAUGUGCUACUGAAGAUGGGUAUUCUAAAGUUGCAAAUGAUUGUUGAGCAUGCUCAAUUGAAUAUGUUUGACAGAAUAAUCAAGUUUGUUGUCGUUAUAUCCUGUUGAGUACGAUGCAGUUCAUUUGUUAUGGUUGCAAAUGAUUGUUGAGUCUCCUCGUGCAUUCUAACUGUCGGACAUUCCAUAGAGUUGGUGCAUCUCUUUGCCUUUAUUCUCAAACCAAAACUUUGACUGUAAAUUUCUUUCUUCAAAUUUGAUCCCAAAGGAGAAGCUUUUGUUCUUUAAGCUUUGAGUAUCUACAUAUCUUAGCUUUGCUUUUCUGCAAAAUUAGAAAAUCAUGCUAUGAAUUGAAUAAACUUCAAAUUAAAAAGUAACUAUGGUCUGUUCCAUUUUCUUAGUUAAGUAACUCUUCAAACAUGUACAUUGUUGUUCUCUUUCUACAUGUCCAACAAUAUUUUCUUCUUAGAUAUUGGAUCUAAUGUGAAGUUGUGAACUCAGUUGAUGCAGAGAUUUGCAUAGUACCUAAAACAAAGGAAGCUUUAUUAAGAAACAUCAGUGAAAUUCAUUAUGUUAAUGUUGCUUUGAACUCAACUGGUGACUACUUAACAAACUGUGAUGUGUUUGACAGGAUCUCGAGAAGGCUUGUACAAGAGCUCCUCGACUGCGUUUUAUCCUUCACGGAACACCGAGACAAUGGAUUCCCAAGCAGGGAGACUGGAUAGGAAAGGAGAAGGAUGAAAUGUUGCUUCUGCUUAAAUCAGAAGUUGUAAUUACAAAACAUUGCAGUUUUAAUUCGGGUAGUUCUUCAUUUAUCUUCUUCAUGAGAACAUUUUUAAUCACAACCCAUUUCUCUUAUCCAUCACCUAAAUCUUUACACUAUCAAUUAGUCACUAUUAGUUAAUCACAUAGUUUAAUCAAUAAAAAUAUUUGAUUUUAAUCAUAUGUAUCUUAACAUAUGUGCAAAAGAUUAACUGUAUGCCAACCUUGGGUCUAUGUAACAGCUAGAGUGAAGAAUGGUUAUCCAUCAGUACAACACACUUCAUGGAUGGUUAAUAGCAUUUUGCUGGCAUGCCCUUUUUUCUUUUUCUCUCAAAUUUUCUUAACUUCUUAAAUGUGUUCGAUUGGUGGUUUGUGUGUUCUGCAAAUAGUCGUUGUAGACUAAUGGCCUCUACCACUGCCUAUGCAACAAACAUGUGAAAUUGUUUUUCUUCUUGGUAAACUAUUUAAGUGAGAUCAUUCCUUAUAUGUCUAUUUUAUUUCAGUGGAAUAUUCUUGAACCUUCGAGCGUUAUCCAUGGUAUUGACUAAACCCUGAAGAAAAUGAGAUUCCAAUUAUAGUCUUGAAGUUAAGUAGAUGCUCCUGAUUAAUAGUAGUUUGUUGUCAUUUUCUGUGUAGUUUUUGAUAUAGAGAGAUAUGAAACACUGAUUAAGGAAGACAUGUUUCAACAUUUUUUAUGAAACCUUUGUACAUGAGACUCGUAUAAUAUUAUAUUUGGAAAGUUACUGCAAGUAGUUUUUCUUACUUUUAAGACCAUUUGUAAGUUAGAUGUGCAUAGUUAUUGUGCUAUGACAAAUUUCUGAACAAAGUCAUUAUUUCUCAAACAUAGGAGAUUUAUAAAUAUAACAUCACAAAUUUUCAAUGAUGAUGUCUAAAAUUCAUGUAUAUGUCAUGUGAACCUGAAAUAAAUUUUUGGCUUCAUUUACAAGUUCAAAAAUAUUGAUUCCUUAGUGGUCAGAAAAUAAAUCUUUUAACGUGUAUUGCAGACCACAUAUAAAUAAUUAAUAUUUAAAACAUUUCAACAUUAAAUAGGAAUACACCUUUCAACUAGGAUUUAAAUUACUUCAA